rnacentral:misc_RNA from 1 species
CCGAGUUUACAACUCCCAAACCCCAUGUGAACCUUACCAUUCUGUUGCUUCGGCGGGAUGCCCCGGGCGCGGCCGCGAGGCCAGCCCCGGACCCAGGCGCCCGCCGGAGGACCCAAACUCUUCUGUCUUACAGCGGUUUUCUUCUGAGUGGCUAUAAGCAAAAAAUGAAUCA